rnacentral:rRNA from 1 species
GUCCAGCAAUGAGUAUGGUAGCAUGGACAUGGCCCAUUGAGGGUGAAAGGCCCGUAAGAGUGGUGUUCAGGUACGACAGUGCCUUUCUGGAUUGACCUUAGAGUCGGGUUGUUUGUGAAUGCAGCCCAAAGUGGGUGGUAAACUCCAUCCAAGGCUAAAUACAAGCACGAGUCCGAUAGCGAACAAGUACCGUGAGGGAAAGUUGAAAAGUACUUUGAAGAGAGAGUAAACAGUGCGUGAAGCCGCUCAGAGGUAAACGGGUGGAGUUGAACUGCAUGCUUCGUGAAUUCAGCUGGUGAGAUUGUUGUGGGGCUUGGUCAAUUGGGGUAGACACUGAGGUAUGCUUAGCUGCAUGUCCCGGCCUGCCGGUUGGGAUGCGCGAUACGCUCAUCAUGCGUUGCGCGCCUUUGUUGUUUAUCUGCCCUCUCGCCAGUGCAUUUUCGCGUUGUGAUCACCAAGAUCGGCGUUGCUGUCCGGCUGCUUCAGUUAAACCGGUCUUACGCGUCAUUUUGGCGCUGUUUGAUCGGGACGGCAGGUAUCCUGUUGGCUUGUUUAUCUCGCCUCCAGGUGUAAUCAGCUGACUGAAGUGGUACUGUGCGGUGCGUCGGAGCUGGCGGCCAGUUGUGCAUGCUCUCGUGUCAUGCCUUCCGAGGGAUUCUGUUUCGAUCGCUAUGUUGCCUGUCUCGGCAGG